CGAUCAAAGGUGGGAGGAUGGCGCUUCGACAUUUAUCCACGGAAGAUUUAAUCACGGAGUUAUUUAAUUUUGGGAUAGAGGUCACUGAAGAGGAGAGAAGUAAAUUCAAAGAUAAUGAAGUUGACGGAGAAGCAGUGGACUAUGGAUUGACUGAGAGGAUUAUUUCAUGCCUCUUUGAAGGAUCGUUUAAGAAGACUGGACUGUCCUUGACCCUUUUGAGGUGAUGGAUUUUCAUGCUUUGGAUACAUACUGUGUCGAUGAUAAACUGUUUGUUAGUAUGCGGCAUUUAUGUUAAGCUGUGUUGGGAGGGUUGUAGAGCGUUGUGGAUGAGCUCAAAGCUUGUGUUUUUUAAUCCAGAACACAUCAAGUGUCAUGUAGUUUAUCCGUUAAGUGACUCUCUUUACUUUGGUGUGGUGUGCUAAAGUGUUUUGCUUGGUCUUUGAUAAUAAACAUGUUUUUCUGCACUAUAUUGCUGUUCUUAUUAGUGAUGUUCAUGAAAUUGAAAGAAGGAAAAUAUAAAUGGUUCCAUUGUAUUUAUUCCCUGCUAUGCAUCUAUUCUCUGAUAUCGCUGUUCAUUUUGUUUUUGGAGUGGCAGUAAGUUGUCAGUUGGUCAGUGAAAUGCUUCUUAAAAAAU
ensembl:lncRNA